rnacentral:lncRNA from 1 species
AUGCACCGACUCCGGCGCCCAGUCCGACUGCGGCGGAGGUUCCCGCCGCCGCGGCUGGUGCUGCAAACCAGUCUGCCUUCCCUGCAGGGCGAGCGGGGAUGGAGCAAGUGGGUGGAGAGAAAAGGGGAAGAGCCUGGGCGGCCGGCGGGCGGGGCCUGCAGCCUCCCCGAGCCGCGGCAGCCGGCGCGCAGACUGCUCUCUCCGCGCCUCGCUCCGACUCAGGCGCGCACGGCGCCGGGACCCGCGCCCGAGCCCGAGCCCGAGCCCGCGCCCGCGCCCGAGCCCGAGCCCGGGGGCGCCGCUGCUCCUCCGCCCCCGGCCCCCGCUCCCCGCCGAGUGCGCUGCGCGGAGGCCGCGCAGGGCAGCGGAGCGCUCCGGCUGCUGGGGCUUUUCGGCUGCCGCUCGCUGCUCCGUCUGGCCGGAGGACUGGCGGGGAAGGAAGGGGAAAGCGGCGACACACACACUCGCCGCGGCGCGCGCGCACUGCACACUCGCAGCCGCGCGCCCCCCGCCGAGGCGCGUCCCGGGCGAGUUUGGCCCCGCGGCCCCGGCCCCGCACCUGCCGGCUCCGCACGCCGCGCCCCGCCCCCGCCCCCGCCCCGCCGACCGUCGGGCCCCUUCCGCCCCUCGCCGGCACAGAUCUCCCGGCGCCGGGCGGGGGGGAAGCAACUACAUCCAGAUAACUUGCGGACUGUGGCGCAACUGGUCUCGACAGCAGAGGCGCCCGAAUGCUGCCCGGGUGAGGAACUUGGGAAGGAAAACAGUUUCAACAAUGAAUAGGUCACCCAUCAUGACUGACUACAGAUGACUUGCCAUUUCAUUUACAAAGGGGUGUCCUACAAAGUAAAAAAAAAAAGAGAGAGAGACCAUCUCAUCCUAUGUCCUGCAUUCAUGCCAGCUAGCCAACCCCUCACUAAGGUGGUUUCUUCAAACACCCUUCAAAGUCGCUCUUGAAGUUUUUUGGAUUUCAAAGCUUCCAAGUCUUAGAGGUAAAAUGACUGACACGGCAUUUGUUAGUCCACAGUUGGUUAAAGAAAAUCCACCUCUUACUGUCAUUAGCACAUACUAAGUUGGAGACACAAACGUACCCUAGUAGAGAAAUGGGCUAGAGCUUCAUAUAGAUAAUUCACCAAAGAGAUGCAAAGAACCAAAGAAACGUGACAAAGAUGUCUGUCCUUACCAUGAAUCAUACAAAUGCAAAAUAAAAUGAUAUUUUUGCC